CCAAACCCCGCUUAGGUGUUCCUCUGAUGAAGACAACUGAAGUCUUCAAGCUCACGUGCGCAAAUAAAGGUACCAAUACACGUCACAGGAUGGCGGAAGGGGAUGUACUUUACUUGGGGACAUAACGUCCACAAAAUUCCUGUAAGUGGCGCUAAGCGUGGAGUGCAGGGCAUAAAGUCUCCACAGAGUUCAGCGGUAAACACAAGAGAACAAGAACAGUGAACAACAAAGUCGAGCUUCUUCUUGGAUUAUAAAACUAAUGAACCAGAAGACAAACACGUAAUUGUUGCUGCUAAGUAUUACAUUUUCAUACUGGUAACAAUUUCAGGAACCAGGGCAAAAACGGUUGAAAUGAUUUUAACUAAAAGAAACAUUUCUGUGUGGACCAGAGCCGUACAUUAAACCGCACCAGAGUUCACUUCCACCGAAUCAAGACCGCAAAGAUGUAAAUUUCAUCAAGGUUAACCUGUCUCUGUGGACACCUGAGACCCGAUUCUGUGACCUGCAAAUGUUUUCAGAGACAAUUAUCAUCCCGGUCAGAAGGUGGCGCCAAAGAUAACAGGUGGGAUGACGAGCAGAAGAAGAAAAACAACAAAGUUCAUCUUAAGGAAAUGAAGAUAGAUCUGGUGUUUUCAAGAGACAACAAGCCAACAAAAAUUGCAACUUUUCUACUGUAAUAAACAGCAAUUUUCCA